UACGGGGGGAGCAAGCGUUGUUCGGAUUUACUGGGCGUAAAGGGCGCGUAGGCGGUCAGCACAAGUCAGUUGUGAAAUCUCCGGGCUUAACUCGGAAAGGUCAACUGAUACUGUGCGACUAGAGUGCAGAAGGGGCAACUGGAAUUCUCGGUGUUGCGGUGAAAUGCGUAGAUAUCGAGAGGAACACCUGCGGCGAAGGCGGGUUGCUGGGCUGACACUGACGCUGAGGCGCGAAAGCCAGGGGAGCAAACGGG
rnacentral:rRNA from 1 species